rnacentral:rRNA from 1 species
UACGUAGGGUGCGAGCGUUGUCCGGAAUUAUUGGGCGUAAAGGGCUCGUAGGCGGUUUGUCGCGUCGGGAGUGAAAUCCACUGGCUUAACUGGUGGCUUGCUUUCGAUACGGGCAGACUGGAGGUAUGCAGGGGAGAACGGAAUUCCUGGUGUAGCGGUGAAAUGCGCAGAUAUCAGGAGGAACACCGGUGGCGAAGGCGGCUACCUGGACAGAAACUGACGCUGAGGCGCGAAAGCUAGGGGAGCAAACAGG